GUGGCUGUGGCUAAGUGAUAGAGCACUUGCCUAGCAUGCAUGAAGCACUGGGUUUGAUCCUCAGCACCACA
rnacentral:tRNA from 1 species